UACAGGGGGGGCAAGCGUUGUUCGGAAUUACUGGGCGUAAAGUGUGCGCAGGCGGCCGCGCAAGUCGAGUGUGAAAGCCCCGGGCUUAACUUGGGAAUUGCGCUCGAAACUACGUGGCUGGAGUGUGGCAGAGGAAGGUGGAAUUCCAGGUGUAGCGGUGAAAUGCGUAGAGAUCUGGAGGAACACCGAUGGCGAAGGCAGCCUUCUGGGCCAACACUGACGCUCAUGCACGAAAGCGUGGGGAGCAAACAGG
rnacentral:rRNA from 1 species